CUGAGCUGAGCUGUGCUGAGUGCUGAGCUAAUCAGUGCUUCGAUAAGCAGGG
rnacentral:miRNA from 1 species